rnacentral:misc_RNA from 1 species
AACGCACCUUGCACUCCUUGGUAUUCCGAGGAGUAUGCCUGUUUGAGUGUCAUUAAAUUCUCAAGCUUCAACCUUGUUGUAACGACUUGGAUUGUGGUUUGGACUUGAGGGUUGCCGCGAGUUCUCGGACUUUUGAACGGCUCCCUUUAAAUGCAUUAGUGGUGACUUGGACCCACUAUCAAAUGUGUUGAUAGUUAUCUACACUUUGAAGUGACCGAAUGUCUUUCCGCUUCUAACUGUCCUUCGGGACAACAUCUUGAAAUUUGACCUCAAAUCAGGUAGGACUACCCGCUGAACUUAA